GGGACACGUGGUAUCCUGUCUGAAUAUGGGGGGACCAUCCUCCAAGGCUAAAUACUCCUGACUGACCGAUAGUGAACCAGUACCGUGAGGGAAAGGCGAAAAGAACCCCGGCGAGGGGAGUGAAAAAGAACCUGAAACCGUGUACGUACAAGCAGUGGGAGCACGCUUCGGCGUGUGACUGCGUACCUUUUGUAUAAUGGGUCAGCGACUUAUAUUCUGUAGCAAGGUUAACCGAAUAGGGGAGCCGAAGGGAAACCGAGUCUUAACUGGGCGUUAAGUUGCAGGGUAUAGACCCGAAACCCGGUGAUCUAGCCAUGGGCAGGUUGAAGGUUGGGUAACACUAACUGGAGGACCGAACCGACUAAUGUUGAAAAAUUAGCGGAUGACUUGUGGCUGGGGGUGAAAGGCCAAUCAAACCGGGAGAUAGCUGGUUCUCCCCGAAAGCUAUUUAGGUAGCGCCUCGUGAAUUCAUCUCCGGGGGUAGAGCACUGUUUCGGCAAGGGGGUCAUCCCGACUUACCAACCCGAUGCAAACUGCGAAUACCGGAGAAUGUUAUCACGGGAGACACACGGCGGGUGCUAACGUCCGUCGUGAAGAGGGAAACAACCCAGACCGCCAGCUAAGGUCCCAAAGUCAUGGUUAAGUGGGAAACGAUGUGGGAAGGCCCAGACAGCCAGGAUGUUGGCUUAGAAGCAGCCAUCAUUUAAAGAAAGCGUAAUAGCUCACUGGUCGAGUCGGCCUGCGCGGAAGAUGUAACGGGGCUAAACCAUGCACCGAAGCUGCGGCAGCGAC
rnacentral:rRNA from 1 species